rnacentral:misc_RNA from 1 species
ACCAAAAUAUUUUCUUCCACUUGACUAUACAUGAUUUCCUCUGUUAAGUCACCACACAAAUGACUUAGAGUUUUCAAAUCAAUGUCAUCGUCAGAUUCAUCUAAUUGUGCCUUGUUGUCCUGAUCAGUUUUAACAGGAGGUCUGGAUCGUCGAUGGGUUAGUUGCAAAGACAAUCAGAACACACCUGACGUACGUAGAAUCAGAACAUGUUCUUGCUGACCCUAGAAUAGCCUUGUUCAUCUCUGAUCUCUCAAAAUACAACUAUGCCUCCUCGCAUCUCAUGCACAUGGUCAAUCGACCGUCGACACAAGGAAACGGAGCAAGGGGGCAAAAAAAAAAAAAAAGAGAGUCAAACUAAUGAGAAAGAAAAAGAAGAAGGAUCGUUCCCCAUGGGAAUCGGGAUCCUCCUGCCUGAGGCUGAGCCGCUGAGGGGAAGAGGGUCAGGGGCAUGCACGUGUGGUAUGUACAGCGGCCACCGUGUGGGCCACAUGCUGCUACCACUACCACCAGCCAGCGGGCACCUUCUUCCCGGCGCCGCCGCCCGCGGCGGCCACGGCGGCGGCGCGCUCGAAGCGCGAGGCCGCGCACGGGAUGGUGAUCCCGCCGGGGUGCUGGAAGCCGAACUCCUCCUCGGCCUCGCGCAGCAGCUCCCCGAACAGCGGGUGGUUGAAGUACACCACGGGGACCACGUACCGCAUCGACUCUGCCCCGGGCUCGGCGCCGCCCACGUACACGGCCACCUGCCCCUUGGGCGUGGUGGCCUCCGCGGCAUCCUCGUCGUCCAGCAGCCGGCCCUUCUCUCCCGCACGCCGGCGCAGGAGGCUCAUCCGCCGCGCCAGCGACCGCCCCCACGUGAGCAUCCGAGGCGAGUCGGCAGAGUCAUCCCGCUGCUGCUGCUGCUGCUUCUUCUGCUUCGUGGCGCACACCGCUGCUACACCCGCCUGGAGGGGCGGGGAUCUGUCGCUGCCUCCUCCUUGUUGGCGCGGGUGCAGGCGGAGGUACCCGCGGCCGCGGCGGCGGCGCCGGCAGAGCGCCGCCCAGCACCAGACGCCGAGCAGCUUCCAGCCGAGCCGGAACCCUCCGUGCCGUCUCCUCGGCAUGCCGCUGCGGCGCCGCUGCUGCUGCUGCUGGAGGUAGAACGAGAGCGCACUCGCGCAAAGGUCUCCGCUUUCUCGCUGUGCUUGGAAUACACCGUUGGAGCAGGAGUAAAGGAGGCGUGGAAGCAGCGACGUCCUAGUGGCUGGUGGCAACUGGCAAGGGAGCGCGACAGCGCGGGUUAUCUUAUAGGUAGGGGAGGAGCUGUGCUGUGUGCUGUGCUGUGGUG